rnacentral:rRNA from 1 species
AGGAUCAUCAUUGAAAAAACUUGCACGGGUUGUUGCUGGNUNNAGGGCAUGUGCACACCUGUCAUCUUUAUUUCUCCAACUGUGNNNNGUAUUGUAGACCUGGAGUUUUUGAAACCGUUUCGAGUUGGGGAUUGCUGUGCUUCAGUUGAAGUGGGCUUUGCCUUACAUUUCUGGGUCUAUGUCAUUUCACAACCUCAUUGAGAAUGUCGAAUCUGUACCUAUAAAGUUAAAUAUACAACUUUCAGCAACGGAUCUCUUGGCUCUCGCAUCGAUGAAGAACGCAGCGAAAUGCGAUAAGUAAUGUGAAUUGCAGAAUUCAGUGAAUCAUCGAAUCCUUGAACGCAUCUUGCGCUCCUUGGUAUUCCGAGGAGCAUGCCUGUUUGAGUGUCAUUUAAGUCCCUCAACCACAUCGGAUUCGUCUUGAUGUGGCUUGGAUAAUGGGGGUGGUUUGCAGGCUUCUCUGAAGUCUGCUCCCCUGAAACGCAUUAGUGGUGUCUGAGCAGAACUACACAGGUGUGAUAAUUAUCUACAUCUUCGUAUGCUGCGAAAAUAAAACAGAUUGAGCCGCUUCCAACGAGUGAAGCCUCCCCCCCUCCCGGGGAGCCACGCAUUUGAUAAAUUUGACCUCAAAUCAGGUAGGACUACCCGCUGAACUUAAGC